rnacentral:misc_RNA from 1 species
AAGUCGUAACAAGGUUUCCGUAGGUGAACCUGCGGAAGGAUCAUUACUCAAUUUCUAAUUCGAUUAGUUUCGAAUCAGAAAAACCCUUUCACCAAACCGCGCUCUUUUUCUUUUUUCACCCCAUCCUUUUACAUUUUUUAUUUUAUUCUCGACUGAACUCAUUGGUCCCAACACUUUUCUGUGUUGUGUGUCCAUCUAAAUGCUUUGAUCGAGUUCUCGGGUGGUGACUCAAAUUCUAUUUGAGUUCUCCUCCCCCUUUUCUCCAUCGGCAUUUUUCCAUAAUAAAGAAUUAAAAACAAU